rnacentral:lncRNA from 1 species
CUUUCUGUGUGGCAGAGGUGACUGUGCUCUGAAGAUGAGAGCCGCUAUCCAGAAGUGAGUUCCAGGUGCGUGCUUGUGGAUAGGUCUGGGAUAUGGAAAGACACUGGAGCUGGAAGAUGCGGAUGGGAAGAAAAGAUAGGAUGCUGACCCUCCUAAAGGGGCUUGCUCACCUGUGAGGAUACCUGCACUGCAAGAUAAAGUAAAAUUCCAGAUGGAAACCAGAGACAGCCUGUUUUGAUGAUGUAGCCUUUGCUGGCAAUCCAGAAGCACGAACACGUGGGGAGAGCUGCUGUUAGAAAGUCUCCCUUGAAAUGCAAAUGAUGGCUGAUGAUACAAGUUCUGAAGUGCAAGGAGAAUGCAUCUGAUGGAGAUGCAUGGAGAGGUAAAGAGAAGAAGAAGGAAGAAGAGGGAGGGUGAACAUGAAAGCACUCCUUUGUAAAUGUAUUUUCUUAGCAGUUUGGAAGACAAAAUUAGACCACAGUAUCAUUAAAAACCAAGACAAACAGCUGUAAACCUUCUAACAAGUUGAAAUCAUGAGACUGUAUUUGCAAUUUGAGAAUGAGGAUAUGAUGAAUACUAUUAUCAAAUGCCACAUAACCCUGGCCAAGAUGUGAAAAAUCUGUUAAAAAGGGUUUAGACUUUGUAUAUAGCUUUCCCUUCCUUUUUUUUUUUUGUUUUAAGAAAAAAAACUCUCUCUGAUUUAUCUUUCUUCAAAGAUAAAUACACUCACAGAAGGUGUAUAAAAACAAAUGUAACUGAACUGAACACACACACACACACACACACACACACACACACACACACACUUACCUGCCUCAGCAAAACAUAGGAAAUCCUACAAACCAGUAAUUCUAUCUUCCUUAGUUGAAAGGGAGCAUUACCAAACAGAAAGGGGAAAAAAAAAAAGUCCCACCAUGAGACGCUAUCCCUAAAUAGCUUCUUCCAGGUCUAGAACUUCUCACCUCUAUCUCAGUGUUUCCAUAAGUCUUCAGACAGGUGGGGGGGGGGAGGGGAUAUGCCUCUCUGCAUUUCUUAGUUGGAGGGGUUAUCACUUCUAUUCACAGCUGAGAGGUGGAAAGGGCUUGAAACUGCUGCAGAGAAUGUUGAAAAUUUAAAUGUUUAGAAAAUAUAGCUAUGGCUCUUAAAGGAGUAAGCUCUUUGCAUAUAUGUGCUGUACAUAUGCCAUGUAUGUCAUAUGUGCUGUAGUUAUAUGCUGUGUUAUAUGACAAACAUGUAAAUAAGUUUUGUAUAAACCACAACCUUAAAUUUC